rnacentral:misc_RNA from 1 species
GAGUUUGCAGCCCUUCAUGGCCAUGAAGUCUUCUUCCUUUUCUUUGCUUGACAGAGCAAUCAACAGCUUUGGCAAAACAAAGCUGCCUCCUCUCUCUUCGUGGCCGUGGCUGUGGCCGUUCUCGUCCACUACCGCCCCCGCGGACCCUCUGGUGGCGUAGUAACGGUCUUCUUUUUCUGGCGACGGCGAUGUGCCUGCACCACCGUUAUGCAGCGUCGUAACGCCCUCAGAAUUCCUAGUUAGACGAUUUGGUUGGAGUGGGAUCCUUUCUUUGUCCGAAGAAGAAAUGACACAGCGAUCGCUCCGAGAUCCGAUUUUCUUCCGUAGACUGCCGCACAAUCGCUCGGAGAUCUCUGGGUCUUUGUUUCUAGGACAUCGCAGCCGCU